GUAGGUGGCAAGCGUUGUCCGGAAUUAUUGGGCGUAAAGCGCGCGCAGGCGGUUCUUUAAGUCUGAUGUGAAAGCCCACGGCUCAACCGUGGAGGGUCAUUGGAAACUGGAGAACUUGAGUACAGAAGAGGAAAGCGGAAUUCCACGUGUAGCGGUGAAAUGCGUAGAGAUGUGGAGGAACACCAGUGGCGAAGGCGGCUUUCUGGUCUGUAACUGACGCUGAGGCGCGAAAGCGUGGGGAGCAAACAGGAUUAGAUACCCUGGUAGUCCACGCCGUAAACGAUGAGUGCUAAGUAUUAGGGGGGUUUCCGCCCCCCUUAGUGCUGCAGCUAACGCAUUAAGCACUCCGCCUGGGAUACGGCCGCAAGGCUG
rnacentral:rRNA from 1 species